GCUGUAUGGGGGAAGCCAUUUUCUUUUCUCUGCGUGAUUGAUGAGAAGAGUAGCAGCAUAACUUUGGAUAAAAUUUAAAAACAUCAAGAGAGGAUUAAAACAGAGACAUUUAUAUGCUCUAUUUUCUUUGGAUUUGUUAUGCUGCUGUUAUGCUGCUGCUCGUUUCAUCAGUCGCACAGAGAGAAGAAAAUGGCUUCCCACAUUCAGCAACUAGCGUGGUAGGGUGGGACUUCAACAUAAACCUCAUGAAACUCUUAUCAGGGGAACACAAUUAUGAAGUGCUCUUGGCAGUAAAACUGGCCUUGGAGGAGAAGAGAAACUGGUUGAAGGGAACUAUUCCUCGUUCUCAGUGACCACUGCAACCUGGAGAACAUCCAUGGAAUCCAUGGCAAGCCAUGUUAGCCCCCCCAGAUUCAGUUUCACUCUUAAUUAAAAAAAAAAAAAAACUGCACGUGCUACGAAAAAAAAUCGAUCUGUGCAAAUUUAUCUCAGUAACGUGUGCAAUAGUUUGUGUAAUGUGAGCGUUUGUGUGUGAGGUUAAUCUAUACAUAGGACUGUACAAUUUUGGCUUAGUGCGACUAUGAAAUCGCAAAGUUUUAAUUAAAUAAAUAUAUGUGCAGCAUGUGAACUGUACACUGUGAACAGAGCGGAUCGAUCAAUUUGCAUUAAAUGCUGCUCCAUCUCUGCAAGCGCUGUGAGAUUGAGUGACUUACAAUGUGCAUUUGAAAAAGCAACAAGUGCCAAACAUCUUUCCAAACUUGUAAUAAAAAGCGAUUACAAACCUGUUAUCCAACAAAAGAGAUCAUCUAAUGACAUGUUUUUACUCCAAACUCACUUCAUAGCAUCAGUUAAGUGUUUGAAAUAAUUUUCUUGUGAUCCAAUGUGGCUUCAUAUCAUAGAAUGAGGCAGAAAUGCUAUUAUUUUACAGUAUUAUAUUUCAGUGAUAAAGACUGUCGAUUGGCAUUGCAUUACAAAAAUACUUUUUUCUUAUGAAAAUACCUGAUAUGUCUUGAAGAACACAAAUAAACCAUUUAUUGUCACAAUCUUAUGUUUAU